rnacentral:rRNA from 1 species
AUUGAACGCUGGCGGCAGGCCUAACACAUGCAAGUCGAACGCUCCGCAAGGGGAAUGGCACACGGGUGAGUAACGCGUGGGAAUCUACCUAUUAGUAAGGAAUAACAGUUGGAAACGACUGCUAAUACCUUAUACGCCCUACGGGGGAAAGAUUUAUCGCUAAUAGAUGAGCCCGCGUAAGAUUAGCUAGUUGGUGAGGUAAUGGCUCACCAAGGCUACGAUCUUUAGCUGGCCUGAGAGGAUGAUCAGCCACACUGGAACUGAGACACGGUCCAGACUCCUACGGGAGGCAGCAGUGGGGAAUAUUGGACAAUGGGCGAAAGCCUGAUCCAGCCAUGCCGCGUGAAUGAUGAAGGCCUUAGGGUUGUAAAGUUCUUUCGCCGCCGAGGAUAAUGACGGUAAGCGGAUAAGAAGCCCCGGCUAACUUCGUGCCAGCCGCCGCCGUAA